CCAACUCGCUAGGGGAGUUUCGACUGAGAGUCCGACGCGCUGCUACGGACAACCCUUUGAACCUGAUCCGGAUAAUGCCGGCGUAGGGAAGCGUUCCACCAUGGUC
rnacentral:ncRNA from 2 species